GAGGGCAGCCAUGUUGGAUUUUGAACUCACGCUACUGCGAGGUUGUACGAGUUCCGAGCUCGUAAAUACGAGGUCAGGGGGCGUGUUUGUGACUUUGACCUCGUAAAAACCGAGUUGCGAGGUAAAUAGAACGCGGCACAAGUGUUUCUUUAAAGUGC